GACAGAGGUGCCAAGCGUUAGGCGGAAUCACUGGGCUUAAAGCGUGUGUAGGCGGGUGCCUAAGUACCUUGUGAAAUCCCACGGCUCAACCGUGGAACUGCUGGGUAUACUGGGUGCCUUGGGUCAUCUAGGGGCUGCCGGAACAAAUGGUGGAGCGGUGAAAUGCGUAGAUAUCGCUUGGAACGCCAAAGGUGAAAACAGGUUGCUGGGGAUGCGCUGACACUGAGACGCGAAAGCCAGGGGAGCGAACGGG
rnacentral:rRNA from 1 species